rnacentral:rRNA from 1 species
GACGAACGCUGGCGGCGUGCCUAACACAUGCAAGUGGAGCGACGAACCAGGCUUCGGCCUGGGGCAAAGCCGCGAACGGGUGAGUAACACGUGGGUAACCUGCCCUGAUGAUUGGGACAACCCGAGGAAACUCGGGCUAAUACCGAAUGUGCCCUCCGACCAUAAGGUCGCUGGGGAAAGGAAGCUUCGGCCUCCGCAUCGGGAUGGGCCCGCGGCCCAUUAGCUUGUUGGUGAGGUAACGGCUCACCAAGGCAACGAUGGGUAGCUGGUCUGAGAGGACGAUCAGCCACACUGGGACUGAGACACGGCCCAGACUCCUACGGGAGGCAGCAGUGGGGAAUCUUGCGCAAUGCGCGAAAGCGUGACGCAGCAACGCCGCGUGGGGGAAGACGGCCUCGGU